UACGGAGGAUGCGAGCGUUAUCCGGAUUUAUUGGGUUUAAAGGGUGCGUAGGCGGGCUGUUAAGUCAGCGGUCAAAUGUCGGGGCUCAACCCCGGCCUGCCGUUGAAACUGGCGGCCUCGAGUGGGCGAGAAGUAUGCGGAACGCGUGGUGUAGCGGUGAAAUGCAUAGAUAUCACGCAGAACUCCGAUUGCGAAGGCAGCAUACCGGCGCCCGACUGACGCUGAGGCACGAAAGCGUGGGUAUCGAACAGG
rnacentral:rRNA from 1 species